UUUGGGAUUCAUGUGUGUGUGUGUGUGUGUGUGUGUGUGUAUACACACACACACACACACACAUGAACCCAUAUU
rnacentral:miRNA from 1 species